CUGCAGUAGGGAAUCUUCCACAAUGGGCGAAAGCCUGAUGGAGCAACGCCGCGUGUGUGAUGAAGGCUUUCGGGUCGUAAAGCACUGUUGUAUGGGAAGAAAAGUUAAGGUAGGGAAUGACCUUAGCCUGACGGUACCAUACCAGAAAGGGACGGCUAAAUACGUGCCAGCAGCCGCGGUAAUACGUAUGUCCCGAGCGUUAUCCGGAUUUAUUGGGCGUAAAGCGAGCGCAGACGGUUGGUUAAGUCUGAUGUGAAAGCCCGGAGCUCAACUCCGGAAAGGCAUUGGAAACUGGUUAACUUGAGUGCAGUAGAGGUAAGUGGAACUCCAUGUGUAGCGGUGGAAUGCGUAGAUAUAUGGAAGAACACCAGCGGCGAAGGCGGCUUACUGGACUGUAACUGACGUUGAGGCUCGAAAGUGUGGGUAGCAAACAGGAUUAGAUACCCUGGUAGUCCACACCGUAAACGAUGAACACUAGGUGUUAGGAGGUUUCCGCCUCUUAGUGCCGAAGCUAACGCAUUAAGUGUUCCGCCUGGGGAGUACGACCGCAAGGUUGAAACUCAAAGGAAUUGACGGGGACCCGCACAAGCGGUGGAGCAUGUGGUUUAAUUCGAAGCAACGCGAAGAACCUUACCAGGUCUUGACAUCCUUUGAAGCUUUUAGAAAUAGAAGUGUUCUCUUCGGAGACAAAGUGACAGGUGGUGCAUGGUCGUCGUCAGCUCGUGUCGUGAGAUGUUGGGUUAAGUCCCGCAACGAGCGCAACCCUUAUUGUUAGUUGCCAGCAUUCAGAUGGGCACUCUAGCGAGACUGCCGGUGACAAACCGGAGGAAGGCGGGGACGACGUCAGAUCAUCAUGCCCCUUAUGACCUGGGCUACACACGUGCUACAAUGGCGUAUACAACGAGUUGCCAACCUGCGAAGGUGAGCUAAUCUCUUAAAGUACGUCUCAGUUCGGACUGCAGUCUGCAACUCGACUGCACGAAGUCGGAAUCGCUAGUAAUCGCGGAUCAGCACGCCGCGGUGAAUACGUUCCCGGGUCUUGUACACACCGCCCGUCACACCAUGGAAGUUUGUAAUGCCCAAAGCCGGUGGCCUAACCGUAAGGAGGGAACCGUCUAAGGC
rnacentral:rRNA from 1 species